rnacentral:misc_RNA from 1 species
UUUCCGUAGGUGAACCUGCGGAAGGAUCAUUAAUGAGUUGUCAUGGGGUUCGAUGCUGGCAGCCAAUUUUUGGAUGCAUGUGCUUGCCCUAACAAUCAUCUUCCAAACACCUGUGCACAUUUUUGAGGGAGUCUUGAGUCGGUUGCCGCUCUUGGGUGAUUUUCUCACAUUCCCUUAAAUCAUUAUACGCUAUUAACAAUGUUGAACGUGCUCUGUGCCGCAAGGCUAUUAAUAUAAUACAACUUUUAACAACGGAUCUCUUGGCUCUC